AGCCAUAUGUUGGCAAUGAAUAUUGCUGUGAGGUAAAAAGUCAGACUGAUUUUUCUCACUCUUAAGUAAGCUCAUAUUUUUUCCUUAUAUCCUCAAUGGAGUUUCCCCUUGCUUUUGAGCCACUGUAACUAUUAUUUCCCGAGAUAAAAUAUAUUCAUUCAAUAUGUAGCAUCAGAUCUUUUAUUUCAAAGGAAAAAUCUUGAAUAUUAUAUCUGAACAUUUUCCUCUUCCAAGUAUACAUUUCUUUCUCAUUUCUUUUCCAUUUCAUUAUUUUUAUUUUCCUCGUUUUUUUUUUUUUUUUUUUAUCCUGGCUGUACUAUCAGCAGAUUCUGUCCUUCCUUUACCUGCUCCCAAUGUGGCCUUCAUUUAUAUGAUGUGAGGUUCAAUUUUCAUUUCCACUUCUUUUUUGAGCUCUGCCAGCUUACUUUUUCAUUUCCUUUUGUUGUCUUUUCAUUUAUUCCAUGAACCCCUGUAUCUCUGCAUUGCACUCACAUUUUAUAGAGAACACUUUUUCAUUACAUCCUUUGAAUUCUUGGAAGAGAUUCUGGUUAAUAUCUUCAUGUGCUCCAUAGCAAAACUUUUCUGCUGUUGUUUCAUCUGCCUUUUCUUUUUCAUAUUCCUUUAUUCCUUUUUCCUUCUUACAGAAUUUGCACUAAAACAGCAAGGGAAGCUUUGAACAGUUUCAUUUUUUGUUUGUAAAAUGAGAGAAGUAUUUUUUUGUACAAGCUUCAUUUUUUAAUGCACCACAUAUUUCUGGAAGGAUAGUGUCUAUUUAGGGUUAGAAAAAUGAUCUCAGCUAGAAGAAAGCCUUCUUCGUCCAGAGUGCAGCUCCAUAUAACACAAGGUGUGGGAUGUAUGUAUGUGUAUGUAUAUUUGUGUGUGUUGAGCUUCUCUUCAGUUGCAAGGCUGCUAAACUACCCCACAGAUUCCCUUCUGUCCUAGUGCAGAGUUAAAAACAUGGUAUGUCUGUAUAAUUCUUGUUUUGUUUUGUUUUGUUUUUGCCCAGUUUUCCUCCACUCUAAGAUGUUCAGUGGGAUUCAGAGAAGUUUCAAUAGCCCUCCUAUUCACCCAAUCUUUAUUUUUCAGGAAAGUGUCCUUAGUUUUGCUCUGUGUGUGUGCCAUGGAGAAGUGGCUGCUCUGCUGGCCCUACUUAAGAUCUAUAGGGGCCCAGUAUUCUCCCGAAAAAUCCCUGUUUUCUGAAACUUGACAGCUCUUCUCUCCUUAUGAUAGUAAUAAUAAAUACUACAAUUAGGAUAAGAAAAUUU
rnacentral:lncRNA from 1 species